rnacentral:rRNA from 1 species
GACGAACGCUGGCGGCGUGCUUAACACAUGCAAGUCGAACGGAAAGGCCCAGCUUGCUGGGUACUCGAGUGGCGAACGGGUGAGUAACACGUGGGUGAUCUGCCCUGCACUCUGGGAUAAGCCUGGGAAACUGGGUCUAAUACCGGAUAUGACCAACCGUCGCAUGGUGGUUGGUGGAAAGCUUCUGCGGUGUGGGAUGGGCCCGCGGCCUAUCAGCUUGUUGGUGGGGUAAUGGCCUACCAAGGCGACGACGGGUAGCCGACCUGAGAGGGUGAUCGCCCACACGGGGACUGAGACACGGCCCAGACUCCUACGGGAGGCAGUAGUGGGGAAUAUUGCACAAUGGGCGCAAGCCUGAUGCAGCGACGCCGCGUGAGGGAUGAAGGCCCUCGGGUUGUAAACCUCUUUCGGCAGGGAAGAAGCGCAAGUGACGGUACCUGCAGAAAAAGGACCGGCUAACUACGUGCCAGCAGCCGCGGUAACAC